rnacentral:rRNA from 1 species
GGAGGAAGGUGGGGAUGACGUCAAGUCAGCAUGGCCCUUACAUCCUGGGCUACACACACGCUACAAUGGGUGAUACAAUGGGUAGCAAUAGAGCGAUCUGGAGCCAAUCCUAAAAAUCACCCUCAGUUCGGAUUGCAGGCUGCAACUGCCUGCAUGAAGUUGGAGUUGCUAGUAAACGCAGGUCAGCACACUGCGUUGAAUACGUUCUCGGGCCUUGUACACACCGCCCGUCACGUCAUGGGAGUCGGUAACACCUGAAGUCGAUAGGCUAACCCGCAAGGGAGGCAGUCGCCGAAGGUGGGACCGGUGACUGGGACGAAGUCGUAACAAGGUAGCCGUACGGGAACGUGCGGCUGGAUCACCUCCUUUCUAGGGAG